rnacentral:rRNA from 1 species
GGGUUGUGAGGUUAAGCGACUAAGCGUACACGGUGGAUGCCCUGGCAGUCAGAGGCGAUGAAGGACGUGCUAAUCUGCGAAAAGCGUCGGUAAGGUGAUAUGAACCGUUAUAACCGGCGAUGUCCGAAUGGGGAAACCCAGUGUGAUUCGUCACACUAUCGUUAACUGAAUACAUAGGUUAACGAGGCGAACCGGGGGAACUGAAACAUCUAAGUACCCCGAGGAAAAGAAAUCAACCGAGAUUCCCCCAGUAGCGGCGAGCGAACGGGGAGCAGCCCAGAGUCUGAAUCAGCUUGUGUGUUAGUGGAACGGUCUGGAAAGUCCGACGGUACAGGGUGAUAGUCCCGUACACCAAAAUGCACAGGUUGUGAACUCGAAGAGUAGGGCGGGACACGUGGUAUCCUGUCUGAAUAUGGGGGGACCAUCCUCCAAGGCUAAAUACUCCUGACUGACCGAUAGUGAACCAGUACCGUGAGGGAAAGGCGAAAAGAACCCCGGCGAGGGGAGUGAAAAAGAACCUGAAACCGUGUACGUACAAGCAGUGGGAGCACCUUCGGGUGUGACUGCGUACCUUUUGUAUAAUGGGUCAGCGACUUAUAUUCUGUAGCAAGGUUAACCGUAUAGGGGAGCCGCAGGGAAACCGAGUCUUAACUGGGCGUUAAGUUGCAGGGUAUAGACCCGAAACCCGGUGAUCUAGCCAUGGGCAGGUUGAAGGUUGGGUAACACUAACUGGAGGACCGAACCGACUAAUGUUGAAAAAUUAGCGGAUGACUUGUGGCUGGGGGUGAAAGGCCAAUCAAACCGGGAGAUAGCUGGUUCUCCCCGAAAGCUAUUUAGGUAGCGCCUCGUGAACUCAUCUUCGGGGGUAGAGCACUGUUUCGGCUAGGGGGUCAUCCCGACUUACCAACCCGAUGCAAACUACGAAUACCGAAGAAUGUUAUCACGGGAGACACACGGCGGGUGCUAACGUCCGUCGUGAAGAGGGAAACAACCCAGACCGCCAGCUAAGGUCCCAAAGUCAUGGUUAAGUGGGAAACGAUGUGGGAAGGCACAGACAGCCAGGAUGUUGGCUUAGAAGCAGCCAUCAUUUAAAGAAAGCGUAAUAGCUCACUGGUCGAGUCGGCCUGCGCGGAAGAUGUAACGGGGCUAAACCAUGCACCGAAGCUGCGGCAGCGACACUAUGUGUUGUUGGGUAGGGGAGCGUUCUGUAAGCCUGCGAAGGUGUGCUGUGAGGCAUGCUGGAGGUAUCAGAAGUGCGAAUGCUGACAUAAGUAACGAUAAAGCGGGUGAAAAGCCCGCUCGCCGGAAGACCAAGGGUUCCUGUCCAACGUUAAUCGGGGCAGGGUGAGUCGACCCCUAAGGCGAGGCCGAAAGGCGUAGUCGAUGGGAAACAGGUUAAUAUUCCUGUACUUGGUGUUACUGCGAAGGGGGGACGGAGAAGGCUAUGUUAGCCGGGCGACGGUUGUCCCGGUUUAAGCAUGUAGGCUGGUUGUCCAGGCAAAUCCGGAUAAUCAAGGCUGAGGUGUGAUGACGAGGCACUACGGUGCUGAAGUAACAAAUGCCCUGCUUCCAGGAAAAGCCUCUAAGCAUCAGGUAACAUCAAAUCGUACCCCAAACCGACACAGGUGGUCAGGUAGAGAAUACCAAGGCGCUUGAGAGAACUCGGGUGAAGGAACUAGGCAAAAUGGUGCCGUAACUUCGGGAGAAGGCACGCUGGUGUGUAGGUGAAGUCCCUGCGGAUGGAGCUGAGACCAGUCGAAGAUACCAGCUGGCUGCAACUGUUUAUUAAAAACACAGCACUGUGCAAACACGAAAGUGGACGUAUACGGUGUGACGCCUGCCCGGUGCCGGAAGGUUAAUUGAUGGGGUUAUCCGUAAGGAGAAGCUCUUGAUCGAAGCCCCGGUAAACGGCGGCCGUAACUAUAACGGUCCUAAGGUAGCGAAAUUCCUUGUCGGGUAAGUUCCGACCUGCACGAAUGGCGUAAUGAUGGCCAGGCUGUCUCCACCCGAGACUCAGUGAAAUUGAACUCGCUGUGAAGAUGCAGUGUACCCGCGGCAAGACGGAAAGACCCCGUGAACCUUUACUAUAGCUUGACACUGAACAUUGAGCCUUGAUGUGUAGGAUAGGUGGGAGGCUUUGAAGCGUGGACGCCAGUCUGCGUGGAGCCAACCUUGAAAUACCACCCUUUAAUGUUUGAUGUUCUAACGUUGGCCCCUUACCGGGGUUGCGGACAGUGUCUGGUGGGUAGUUUGACUGGGGCGGUCUCCUCCCAAAGCGUAACGGAGGAGCACGAAGGUUAGCUAAUCCUGGUCGGACAUCAGGAGGUUAGUGCAAUGGCAUAAGCUAGCUUGACUGCGAGCGUGACGGCGCGAGCAGGUGCGAAAGCAGGUCAUAGUGAUCCGGUGGUUCUGAAUGGAAGGGCCAUCGCUCAACGGAUAAAAGGUACUCCGGGGAUAACAGGCUGAUACCGCCCAAGAGUUCAUAUCGACGGCGGUGUUUGGCACCUCGAUGUCGGCUCAUCACAUCCUGGGGCUGAAGUAGGUCCCAAGGGUAUGGCUGUUCGCCAUUUAAAGUGGUACGCGAGCUGGGUUUAGAACGUCGUGAGACAGUUCGGUCCCUAUCUGCCGUGGGCGCUGGAGAAUUGAGGGGGGCUGCUCCUAGUACGAGAGGACCGGAGUGGACGCAUCACUGGUGUUCGGGUUGUCAUGCCAAUGGCACUGCCCGGUAGCUAAAUGCGGAAGAGAUAAGUGCUGAAAGCAUCUAAGCACGAAACUUGCCCCGAGAUGAGUUCUCCCUGAGACUUUAAGUCUCCUGAAGGAACGUUAAAGACGAUGACGUUGAUAGGCCGGGUGUGUAAGCGCAGCGAUGCGUUGAGCUAACCGGUACUAAUGAACCGUGAGGCUUAACCUUACAACGCCGAAG